UUCGUCUACGAAAUUUACCAUCAAAGUUAACUCUUAAGUACCGAGAGAUUGUAUAAUGAACAAAGAGAACUGACUGUCUGGGACAACUAGGGUCAUCUUAGUUGUUCUCGCUCUCGCUCUCUCUCUCUCUCUCUCUCUCUCUCUCUCUCUCUCUCUCUCUCUCUCUCUCUCUCUUUCUAUACUAAAUCCUCUCUCUCUCUCUCUGUCUCGAUAUUUUGUUUAAAAUAGCAAGCUACAUUAACUGUACUUUUUCAGCUCCCGUAUCUGGGUAUUAAUAUACAAGUGACUAUAAUGUAGUUUAAUCUGUCAGAUAUCAGAUAGUAAUAUCAUCUUUUUAUUUUUACUUUUAACUUCAACUUUAUCCGACUUUUUCUUUUUUGUUCUUAAAACAGACGAGAGACUCUUCUGUAUCGCCCCCCAGUAGGCAGUACAUGCGGCUAGUUGUCCUGUCAGAGGAAGAGAAGAGGUCUAUUCUUACGGAGUGCCACAAUAACCCUGGGACUGGCAAUCACAGUGGUGUCAGAAGCACUCAAAACAGGGUUAUUGCUGGCUACUAUUGGCUACAAUUAUCCAGAAUGUGAAAGAAUGUGUAAUGUACUUAGAGGUCAGUUCUUGUCACCACUGCCAGUUGAAUGACCCCAUCAAGACUGUUGUGCCAGUUUUGCAUUCCAUUAAGGUAUAUAAUCUUGGGAGGUGCUUGGUUUGGAUUUGAUUGGACCACAGCCAGAAACAGUAUGCACCAGCAAAUAUGUCCUUCCUACGAAAGACCUGUAUACCAUGGGUGAUUGCAGAACCCAUGCAAUCUAAGACAGCAGCUGAGGUGACUGCAAUAAUAACCACAAAGUUGUUCUUGUUCGGCAUGGUUAGGAAAAUCAUUACAGACCAAGGGAAGGAGUUUGUCAACAAGGUUCUUCGCAACAUGGAGAGAGCACAGAGCAUGCAACAAAAGUAAUUCCAAAAUCACAAGUAUGACCGAGUAUAUUCAGUUCAGGCCGGUGAUGAUGUUUUGCUCUCACGGGACCCCAAGAAACGACAGACAGGAGGCACAUUUACAAGUCAGCACCAAGGACCAUAUACUGUGGCCAGCAUCUCUUCCAAAGGGUUAGCCACUAUUGUGAAAGGUUCAACUUGCCAGAGUGUCAGUGUGUCAAGACUGAGGACAUACUAAAGAUUGAAAAAUGGACCAACUGAGAGGAUGUUUCUCCAGGACCACUGUUGCUCAACAUUGAAUUGGGCCCUAUUCAAGAUGAACUGGUAAGCAUUCUGUCUAUUUAGUGACACUUUGCAUAUUUAAAUCAUAACCAUUACUUAUUCAUGUCAAAACCAAGGUAAAUUUUGCCUUACAUGAGAAGACUUCUGGAGCCUGGGUUUAAGCCGGUGCAUGGAAUCUAAUGUGUGUUUGUUUAGUGUCUUAGUUUACUGCAUAAAAAAAAAAAAAAAUUCCCAGAUAAUGCAUCAUUUUACACAUGGCAGUUUUCACAGGGAUGUAAUUGUUCUGAAUUGUUCUAAUUUUGAUGCAUGCAUGUUUAAUAGCUUAUAAUGUUUUUCCAUAAGGGAAAACAUUUUCACAUUGUUCACAGUGAUCACUCUAUGUUGUUGCCACCUGGAAAGAAUGUCCACCAGUGGAACCAGUGCAUUGUUUGCCUAUAAGUUUAUUUUUUUAUAUUUAUUUAUUUUGCUAUCAUAUACUCAUCAAUAUAGAAAGAACUCUAUUGGAAACAGGCACAGAAGUAUAUGUUUUUUGUGCAUGCAUAUUAUUUUGUCCCAGUACUGUUAGGAAAAUGUGUGGUCCAAGAAUGUCAUACUAUUUCCAGCUUGGAGCAGGCAGCCAGAUUAAGAUGAUCACUAUCUGCUCUGUAUUGAGUUUCUUUUUAUAAUCUUUCUAGCUGUAAUAUUUAAAAAUUCAACAGGUAGGGUUAGUGAGUUCUAUUUUCGUGGAUAUACCCAUUGCAGGUUACGUUGGUAGCUUUGAGGGAGAUACUUUUUCUUGAUUCUCUUCACCUUGAUGGUUUUGGUGAUGAGAUGUACAGAACCAUAUUUAGGUUGAGACUAGAGAUAAUUAAUUUACUGGCCUUGUUCCAGGCAUGUUAUUUGGUUACAAUUUCCAAAAGGAGCCUCGUCCUCAUGCUUCAUGUUCGUAUAAGAGCCUCGUUCUCAGGCUUCAUGUUCGUAUAAGAGCCUCGUUCUCAGGCUUCAUGUUCGUAUAAGAGCCUCAUCCUCAUGCUUCAUGUUCGUAUAAGAGCCUCAUCCUCAUGCUUCAUGUUCGUAUAAGAGCCUCAUCCUCAUGCUUCAUGUUCGUAUAAGAGCCUCAUCCUCAUGCUUCAUGUUCGUAUAAGAGCCUCGUCCUCAUGCUUCAUGUUUGUAUAAGAGCCUCGUUCUCAGGCUUCAUGUUCGUAUAAGAGCCUCAUCCUCAUGCUUCAUGUUCGUAUAAGAGCCUCAUCCUCAUGCUUCAUGUUCGUAUAAGAGCCUCAUCCUCAUGCUUCAUGUUCGUAUAAGAGCCUCAUCCUCAUGCUUCAUGUUCGUAUAAGAGCCUCAUCCUCAUGCUUCAUGUUCGUAUAAGAGCCUCAUCCUCAUGCUUCAUGUUCGUAUAAGAGCCUCGUCCUCAUGCUUCAUGUUCGUAUAAGAGCCUCGUUCUCAGGCUUCAUGUUCGUAUAAGAGCCUCAUCCUCAUGCUUCAUGUUCGUAUAAGAGCCUCAUCCUCAUGCUUCAUGUUCGUAUAAGAGCCUCGUUCUCAGGCUUCAUGUUCGUAUAAGAGCCUCGUUCUCAGGCUUCAUGUUCGUAUAAGAGCCUCGUUCUCAGGCUUCAUGUUCGUAUAAGAGCCUCGUUCUCAGGCUUCAUGUUCGUAUAAGAGCCUCGUUCUCAGGCUUCAUGUUCGUAUAAGAGCCUCGUCCUCAUGCUUCAUGUUCGUAUAAGAGCCUCGUCCUCAUGCUUCAUGUUCAUAUAAGAGCCUCGUUCUCAGGCUUCAUGUUCGUAUAAGAGCCUCAUCCUCAUGCUUCAUGUUCGUAUAAGAGCCUCAUCCUCAUGCUUCAUGUUCAUAUAAGAGCCUCGUUCUCAGGCUUCAUGUUCGUAUAAGAGCCUCGUUCUCAGGCUUCAUGUUCGUAUAAGAGCCUCGUUCUCAGGCUUCAUGUUCGUAUAAGAGCCUCGUUCUCAGGCUUCAUGUUCGUAUAAGAGCCUCGUUCUCAGGCUUCAUGUUCGUAUAAGAGCCUCGUCCUCAGGCUUCAUGUUCGCAUAAGAGCCUCGUCCUCAGGCUUCAUGUUCGUAUAAGAGCCUCGUCCUCAGGCUUCAUGUUCGCAUAAGAGCCUCGUCCUCAGGCUUCAUGUUCGUUAAAGAGCCUCGUCCUCAGGCUUCAUGUUCGUAUAAGAGCCUCGUUCUCAGGCUUCAUGUUCGUAUAAGAGCCUCGUUCUCAGGCUUCAUGUUCGUAUAAGAGCCUCGUUCUCAGGCUUCAUGUUCGUAUAAGAGCCUCGUCCUCAGGCUUCAUGUUCGCAUAAGAGCCUCGUUCUCAGGCUUCAUGUUCGUAUAAGAGCCUCGUCCUCAGGCUUCAUGUUCGCAUAAGAGCCUCGUCCUCAGGCUUCAUGUUCGUAUAAGAGCCUCGUUCUCAGGCUUCAUGUUCGUAUAAGAGCCUCGUUCUCAGGCUUCAUGUUCGAAUAAGAGCCUCGUUCUCAGGCUUCAUGUUCGUAUAAGAGCCUCGUUCUCAGGCUUAAUGUUCGUAUAAGAGCCUCGUCCUCAGGCUUCAUGUUCGCAUAAGAGCCUCGUCCUCAGGCUUCAUGUUCGUAUAAGAGCCUUGUUCUCAGGCUUCAUGUUCGUAUAAGAGCCUUGUUCUCAGGCUUCAUGUUCGAAUAAGAGCCUCGUUCUCAGGCUUCAUGUUCGUAUAAGAGCCUCGUUCUCAGGCUUAAUGUUCGUAUAAGAGCCUCGUCCUCAGGCUUCAUGUUCUCAUAAGAGCCUCGUCCUCAGGCUUCAUGUUCGUUAAAGAGCCUCGUCCUCAGGCUUCAUGUUCUCAUAAGAGCCUCGUUCUCAGGCUUCAUGUUCGUAUAAGAGCCUCGUUCUCAGGCUUCAUGUUCUCAUAAGAGCCUCGUCCUCAGGCUUCAUGUUCUCAUAAGAGCCUCGUCCUCAGGCUUCAUGUUCUCAUAAGAGCCUCGUUCUCAGGCUUCAUGUUCUCAUAAGAGCUCAUAAGAGCCUCGUUCUCAGGCUUCAUGUUCGUAUAAGAGCCUCGUCCUCAGGCUUCAUGUUCAUUAAAGAGCCUCGUCCUCAGGCUUCAUGUUCUCAUAAGAGCCUCGUCCUCAGGCUUCAUGUUCUCAUAAGAGCCUCGUUCUCAGACUUCAUGUUCUCAUAAGAGCUCAUAAGAGCCUCGUUCUCAGGCUUCAUGUUCUCAUAAGAGCCUCGUUCUCAGGCUUCAUGUUCGUUAAAGAGCCUCGUCCUCAGGCUUCAUGUUCUCAUAAGAGCCUCGUUCUCAGGCUUCAUGUUCAUUAAAGAGCCUCGUCCUCAGGCUUCAUGUUCUCAUAAGAGCCUCGUCCUCAGGCUUCAUGUUCUCAUAAGAGCCUCGUUCUCAGGCUUCAUGUUCUCAUAAAAGCCUCGUUCUCAGGCUUCAUGUUCUCAUAAGAGCUCAUAAGAGCCUCGUUCUCAGGCUUCAUGUUCAUAUAAGAGCCUCGUUCUCAGGCUUCAUGUUCGUAUAAGAGCCUCGUCCUCAGGCUUCAUGUUCGUAUAAGAGCCUCGUUCUCAGGCUUCAUGUUCGUUAAAGAGCCUCGUCCUCAGGCUUCAUGUUCGUUAAAGAGCCUCGUCCUCAGGCUUCAUGUUCGCAUAAGAGCCUCGUUCUCAGACUACAGAACUGAUAAUUUAAUUAGACAUGUAUUUUGUGUUUUCUUUGGAAUGCCAGACACGUUGCAACCUUCAUUGAUCCAGGACUGAAAAAACAGGAAGAGACCUUGCGUUUUUCCUCAACAGUGUACAGGGGAUUCCUGUGGUGUCUACAUGCUGAUGCACCUGUACGUCUUGUCAAUUAUCAUUCACAGAGGAUGAGCUGCCAUUGAUUCACCAGUGGUGGUGCAUUCAGCUGAUGGAGAGGUUUUGCCUAGAAGGGUAUGACAGACUCUACAGAUAACAUUUCAGUAUCUUGGUUGUAUUAAGUCACUGUUGGCAAAGUGAUACUAGAAAGGUGUUAGUGACACUAGACAUAUUCAAAGUGAUACUAGACAUAUUUUCCAAAGGCAUGGAUAGAGAUUUGCAUACUGGACAGAAGAAGCAUCCCAACUCCUUCAGGGAACCCUUGAGCCUAUCUUUAGGGUGUCAAAAUCCACCACCACAAAACUGUCGCCCAGCAGAAGAGUUGUGAUUGAAGAGGACACUGAUAAGUUGCAACAGCCAACCAUUGUGAGAAAUCUUCAUACAGCAUGGUAAUGGAUACACAAUCACAGAGACUUAUUCAAUGAGGAUGUGAGAGAGCCUGCUUUUCUGCAGAUGAACAGUGAUGAACAACAAAAUGCCCUCAGGAAGGUCCUGGGGUUGAAUUCUCAAAUGCAAAGGAUGACUUUCAAGAGGACAUGGAAACAUUUUUAAGUCAUACUGUGUUGAUGAACAAGGCAUGAAGGUCAAUGCUAUGUUCCUCAAUUGCAGUAGACGAAUGAGGGAGGAAGGGAGGGAAUAAAUGAAGGAUGGAAGGAAUUAAUUAUUUUAUGAAUGAAUAAAU